rnacentral:rRNA from 1 species
CAUGCAAGUCGUACGAGAAAUUCUGGGCAACUGGGAGAGUAAAGUGGCGCACGGGUGAGUAACGCGUGGGUAACCUGCCCUUGAAUUGGGGAUAACUCUUCGAAAGGGGAGUUAAUACCGAAUAAUAUUCCAAUUCCUUCGGGAGUUGGAAUCAAAGAUGGCCUCUGCAUGCAAGCUAUCGUUUAAGGAUGGGCCCGCGUACCAUUAGCUAGUUGGUAGGGUAAUAGCCUACCAAGGCAACGAUGGUUAGCUGGUCUAAGAGGAUGAUCAGCCACACUGGGACUGAGACACGGCCCAGACUCCUACGGGAGGCAGCAGUGGGGAAUUUUCCGCAAUGGGGGGAACCCUGACGGAGCAACGCCGCGUGCGGGAGGAAGGCCUUCGGGUUGUAAACCGCUUUUCUCUGGGAAGAAGAACUGACGG